rnacentral:tRNA from 1 species
GCCCGAAUGGCGGAAUUGGUAGACGCGCUAGUUUCAGGGACUAGUGUUCGUAAGAUCGUGUGGGUUCGAGUCCCGCUUCGGGCACAA